CACCGCCGACAAUCCAUCUUAAACAUUGAACCAGCAGCCGUGAUUUCCCGAGUAGACAAACACCCAACUACUUACCAUUUACCAAGUUCUAAAACAGUGGAACCAUGUGUAGAUGCUAGAUACCAUGUCCAAAUAACUAGGCUGUAAAAGCUAAGAUAACAGGCGAUUCUUCAACAAAUUACAACAAGGGUACAUGAUGACAUGAUACAUCACGGGACCUAGGACACUGAGAGUCCAGAACAGGCGCACUGACAAGGCUCCAAGACAUACAAGCUGUUACAAUUAGUUGCUACGACUACAAGUAAAUCUAGAACAUCACCGACAUACACCAAAUAACAACAC
rnacentral:lncRNA from 1 species